UUUAAAUGAAUUCACCUCAAGCAUCCCAUUGAUUCCUCAUUGUGCAUAGCUGGCUGACGUUUAUGGGAAUGUGCUCAGUGUCCGUCUCGGCGGUGACAAGAUGGUGUUUGUGUCUGGGUACAAGAUGGUGAAGGAAGCCAUAGUGACACAAGCUGACAACUUUGUGGAUCGACCACAUAGUGCAGUUAGCAACAGGUUUUACUCAGGAGACUCAGGUGCACAAAUCUCUCUCUUUCUCUUGUCUCAUGCUCUGCACUAAUUAGUUCCCUUGAGCCAUUAACCCUAUUUCCUCUGCAUGUUUGUGUC